CCUACGGGUGGCAGCAGUAGGGAAUCUUCCACAAUGGGCGCAAGCCUGAUGGAGCAACACCGCGUGAGUGAAGCAGGGUUUCGGCUCGUAAAGCUCUGUUGUUGGAGAAGAACGUGCGGAAGAGUAACCGUUCAUGCAGUGACGGUAUCCAACCAGAAAGUCACGGCUAACUACGUGCGAGCAGCCGCGGUAAUACGUAGGUGGCAAGUGUUAUCCGGAUUGAUUGGGCGGAAAGCGAGCGCAGGCGGUUGCGUAGGUCUGAUGUGAAAUCCUUCGGCUUAACCGAAGAAGUGCAUCGGAAACCGGGCGACUUGAGUGCAGAAGAGGACAGUGGAACUCCAUGUGUAGCGGUGGAAUGCGUAGAUAUAUGGAAGAACACCAGUGGCGAAGGCGGCUGUCUGGUCUGCAACUGACGCUGAGGCUCGAAAGCAUGGGUAGCGAACAGGAUUAGAUACCCUUGUAGUC
rnacentral:rRNA from 1 species